AUUCCAGCUCCAAUAGCGUAUAUUAAAGUUGUUGCAGUUAAAAAGCUCGUAGUUGGAUUUCUGGCGAGGCUUGGUCGGUCGGCGCUUAGCGUGUGAACCGUGUCGAGCCUUGCCAUCCUGAGGAAGAACCUUGUUGGCAUUAAGUUGUCGACUUGGGUACUCCUCUCGUCUACUGUGAAAAAAUUAGAGUGUUCAAAGCAGGCUUAUGCCGUUGAAUAGUCCAGCAUGGAAUAAUAAGAUAGGACCUCGGUGCUAUUUUGUUGGUUUGCGCACCAAGGUAAUGAUUAAUAGGGACAGUUGGGGGUAUCCGUAUUCUGCAGUCAGAGGUGAAAUUCUUGGAUUUACGGACGACGAACUACUGCGAAAGCAUUUACCAAGGAUGUUUUCAUUG
rnacentral:rRNA from 1 species